CUCCAACACUUAUUGUUUCCUACCUUGUUAAUUAUGGCCAUUCUGAUGGGAGUGAGGUGAUAUUUCAUUGUAGUUUUGAUUUGUAUUUCCCUGAUAGUUAAUGAUGUUGAAUAUCUUUUCAUAUGGCUGUUGGCCAUCUGUAUACCUUCUUUGGAGAAAUGUCUGUUCAGAUCAUUUUUUAAUUGGGUUGUUAGGGUUUUUUUGUUAAGACGUAUGAGUUCUUUGUAUAUUUUAGAUGUUAACCCCUUAUCAGAUAUACGGUUUGCAAAUAUCUUCUCCCAAUUGUUAGGUUGUCUUUUUGUCCUGUUGAUGGUCUCCAUUGCUGUGCAGAGCUUUUUAUUUUUAUGUAGUCCCAUUGUUUAUUUUUUCUUUUGUUUCCCUUGCCCAAUCAGACACGGUACUUGAAAAUAUGCUGCUCAGACUGAUGUCAAAGAGUGUACUGCUGAUGUUUUCUUCUAGAAGUUUCAUGGUUUCAGGUCUUACAUUCAGAGCAUGGAGACUGACAUCAGCAUCAUGGUGGAGUGUGCUUGCCUGGUGAACUCUCCCUUCCAGGAUACAACAAAAAGGACAUUCAUAUUCCAACAUAGGACAUCCACACAACACAAAAGAUGUCUGAGAGACCCAUGCAGCCAUACAUCAGAAAGUGGAGGUGCUGGAGCCCUCCCUUGGAGGAGGUGGAAAGAGGUAAGAGAAAGCUUCACUCCCACCCCUAAAGCCUGAGAUUCAGGGAUUGCGUGUGGCCUCUGAGAGGGAAGGAAAGGGGGAGGGGGAUGCCCCUUCAUGGGAAAAUCAUAGAUCCCUAAGGUUCCUCGCAGCCUAGGGGAAAGUCCCUUACUGAGGUGACUAGCUAUUGGGGGAAUGACUUCAUCUAGCCAACACCUCAAGAAAGCAGAUAGGGCAGAGCAAGAAGCCCCUGAGAGCACGCAGAAGAAGAAUAUGUCUGUCCCCCUACCCGCCCAGCAGCAGGCUCCAGCACCUGGGAUCCCUGUGGAACACAGAGGGCUCAGAAUAUGCAGCGCUUGACCCCUACCCAGUGGCAAUAGGUGGUAAUGGCAAUCAAUAAUACCACAAUGCAGAAGAACAAAGCCGUGCCCUUUAGCAGUAUCAACAAUUAUAGGUGCAGCCCCAUGGCCCAGUGGUUAACUUUAUGCACUCUGCUUCAGUGGCCCAGCAUUUCACCAGUUUGGAUCCUGAGCAUGGACCCAGCACCACUCAUCAAGCCAUGCUGAGGCAGUGUCCCAAAUGCCACAACUAGAAGGACCCAAAACUAAAAUAUACAACUAUGUACAGGGAGGCUUUGGGAGAAGAAGGAAAAAUAAAAUCUUAAAAAAUAUAUAUAUCAAAUAUCCAUACCAGAAGGAAAAUGACAAGUACCCAGAAAUCAAUCCUGAAGACACAGAAAUAUAUAAUCUAAUGACAGAAUUCCAAAUUGCUACCAUCAGAAAACUCAACAAGUUAAAAGAGAAUGUACAGAAACAAUUCAACGAGUUCAGGAGCUACUUCACAAGAGAGAUUGAAACUAUAAAGAAGAACCAAUCAGAAAUAUUGGAGGUGAAAGACACAAUCAAUGAGAUAGAACAAAACAUGGAUUUCCUGAAUGCUAGAGCAGACAUCGUAGAAGAGCAUAUCAGCAUAAUCGAGGAUAGACAAGUUGAAAUGCUCCAGACAGAGGAGGAGAGAGAACUAAGACUAAAAAGAAAUGAAGAAAGUCUCUGAGAAAUAUCUGACCCAAUUAGGAAAUGAAAUAUAAUAAUUAUAGGUAUUCAAGAGGGAGAAGAGAAGGAGAAUGGAGCAGAAAGCUUGUUCAAAGAGAUAAUAGCAGAGAACUUCCCAAACCUGGGGAAGGAGAUGGAAAUCCAAGUGAAAUAGUCUAUCAGAUCUCCUAAAUAUGUCAGUGUAAAAAGACCUACUGCAACGCAUAUAGUAGUGAAACUGGCAAAAGUGAAUGACAAAGAAAAAGUACUAAGGGCAGCAAGGCAGA
ensembl:lncRNA